rnacentral:lncRNA from 1 species
CUGGGACUCUCCCCCUGUCCCAGGGUGGGAUUUUGUCCCUGUCCCUGUCCCGGGCUGGGAUUUUGUCCCUGUCCCUGUCCCUGUCCCUGUCCCUGGCUGGCUCUCUCCCUGUCCUGCCCGUGACAGUCCCAGCACAGCAGGAACGGGAAGGGCGCCUGUCCCCAAGCUCUGGGCUGGCUCUGGGACAAAGCCAGGCUGCUCCGAGCCCUGUGCUGAGCCAUGUCCCCAUGUCCCCGUGUGUGUCCCCAUGUCCCUCUAUCCGUGUCCCCGUGUGUGUCCCUGUGUCCCCGUGUGUGUCCCUGUGUCCUCAUGUCCCCAUGUGUCUAUCUCCAUGUCCUCUGUGUGUCCAUGUCCCCAUGUCCCUCUGUCCAUGUCCCCAUAUGUGUCCCCAUGUCUUGAUGUGUGUCCCCAUGUCCAUGUCCCCCUGUCCCUGUGUCCAUGUCCCCGUGUCCCUGUCCCCAUGUCCCUGUGUCCAUGUCCCCGUGUGUGUCCCCAUGUCCCUGUGUCCCUGUCCGUGUCCUCAUGUCUCCGUGUGUGUCCCUGUGUCCCCUGUGUCCUCAUGUCCCUGUCCCCAUGUCCCUCUACAUGUCCCCAUGUCCCCCGUGUGUCCCCGUGUCCCCCAUGUGUCCCCCUGUCCCUGUGUGUCCCUGUCCAUGUCCCCAUGUCCCUGUCCCUGUCCCCCUGUCCCCGUGCGUCCCCGUGUGUCCUGUGUCUCUGUCCAUGUCCCCAUGUCCCCGUGUCUCCGUGUGUCCCCGUGUGUGUCCCCCUGUCCCCGUGUGUGUCCCCCUGUCCCCGUGUGUCCCCGUGUCACUGUCCCCAUGUCCCUGUCCCCUGUCCAUGUCCCCAUGUCCCCGGGUGUCCCCAUGUUCCUGUCCCCUGUCCUUGUCUGUGUCCCCGUGUGUCCCCAUGUCCCUGUCCGUGUCCCUGUGUGUCCCCACGUCCCUGUCCGUGUCCCCUGUCCCCUGUCCCCGUGUGGCCGUGCGGCCGUGCCGCAGCUGGUGAAGCUGUGCAGCGGGAUGCUGGAGGCGGGCCGGGCGUACCUCAGCACCAACAAACAUUUCCUGGGCGGCGUGCGGGACCUGGCGCAGCAGUGCCGCAAGGAUCCCAUGGUCUCGGUGAGGUGUGCCCGGAGCGCUGCUCGGGGCUGGG